rnacentral:rRNA from 1 species
AGACAGAGGGUGCAAGCGUUGUUCGGAAUUACUGGGCGUAAAGCGCUCGUAGGCGGCUUGUUAAGUCGGAUGUGAAAGCCCCGGGCUCAACCUGGGAACUGCAUUCGAUACUGGCAAGCUAGAGUAUAGUAGAGGCAAGUGGAAUUCCGGGUGUAGCGGUCAAAUGCGUAGAUAUCCGGAGGAACAUCAGUGGCGAAGGCGACUUGCUUGACUAAUACUGACGCUGAGGAACGAAAGCGUGGGAAGCAAACAGGAUUAGAUACCCCAGUAGUCC